rnacentral:rRNA from 1 species
AAUGGGCGCAAGCCUGAUCCAGCCAUGCCGCGUGUGUGAAGAAGGCCUUCGGGUUGUAAAGCACUUUUGUUCGGGAAGAAAAGCUACCGGUUAAUACCCGGGAGUCAUGACGGUACCGAAAGAAUAAGCACCGGCUAACUUCGUGCCAGCAGCCGCGGUAAUACGAAGGGUGCAAGCGUUACUCGGAAUUACUGGGCGUAAGGCGUGCGUAGGUGGUGCGUUAAGUCUGCCGUGAAAGCCCCGGGCUCAACCUGGGAAUGGCGAUGGAUACUGGCGCGCUAGAGUGCGGUAGAGGAGAGUGGAAUUCCCGGUGUAGCAGUGAAAUGCGUAGAGAUCGGGAGGGACAUCAGUUGCGAAGGCGGCUCUCUGGACCAACACUGACACUGAGGCACGAAAGCGUGGGGAGCAAACAGGAUUAGAUACCCUGGUAGUCCACGCCCUAAACGAUGCGAACUGGACGUUGGGAGCAACUAGGCUCUCAGUGUCGAAGCUAACGCGUUAAGUUCGCCGCCUGGGGAGUACGGUCGCAAGACUGAAACUCAAAGGAAUUGACGGAAGC